rnacentral:rRNA from 1 species
AGAGUUUGAUCAUGGCUCAGAGCGAACGCUGGCGGCGUGCUUAACACAUGCAAGUCGAACGAGGGUAGCAAUACCUUCGUGGCGAACGGGUGCGUAACACGUGGAUAACCUUCCUUCAGGUGGGGAAUAACCCCGCGAAAGCGGGGCUAAUACCGCAUAACAAGACGAGGGCACAUGCCUUUGUCUUCAAAGGCGCAAGUCGCCGGAAGAGGGAUCCGCGGCCGAUUAGCUAGUUGGCGGGGUAACGGCCCACCAAGGCAAUGAUCGGUAGCCGGUCUGAGAGGAUGAUCGGCCACACUGGAACUGAGACACGGUCCAGACUCCUACGGGAGGCAGCAGUGGGGAAUCUUGCGCAAUGGGCGAAAGCCUGACGCAGCAACGCCGCGUGGGGGAUGAAGCUUCUCGGAGUGUAAACCCCUUUCGACCCGGACGAAUGCCCGCAAGGGCUUGACGGUACGGGUAUAAGAAGCCCCGGCUAACUACGUGCCAGCAGCCGCGGUAAAACGUAGGGGGCCAGCGUUGCUCGGAAUUACUGGGCGUAAAGGGUCCGUAGGCGGUGUGGCAAGUCGGAAGUGAAAUCUCUGGGCUUAACUCAGAGGCUGCUUCCGAAACUGCUGUGCUAGAGUGUGAGAGAGGCAAGUGGAAUUGCGGGUGUAGCGGUGAAAUGCGUAGAUAUCCGCAGGAACAUCCGAGGCGAAAGCGGCUUGCUGGAUCACAACUGACGCU